rnacentral:sRNA from 1 species
GGCUCUACGGGUGUUCCCUCUCGCGUUCCUCACUCACACACACACAUAGAGAUAGAUGGCUGCGAUUAGAAAGAAGGUGAGCAGCAGCUCCUCUCAUUCUGAUGCUCCGCGGCUCAUUAAAUUGUGCUCAAUUGGAGAGAAAAUUGGAGAAAAAACGACGAAAGUCGAUAAAUUCUCCUUGAAAUUACAGAAAUUUCAGUUUUUUCAGCAAUUUUUCGCGAAAAUCGAUGUUUCUCGGCGAUUUUGGGGCUCUGAAGCCAUUUUCAUUGAAAUUUAGUGAAAAAAAUAUGUGUUUUAUCUAAAAUAACUGAAAAAUGGCUCAAAAAUUGUCGAAAUAAUAGUUUUUGACAAUUUUUGAGCUCUUUUUCAGUUUUUUUCAGAUAAAAUACAUAUUUUUUCACUAAAUUUCAAUGAAAAUGGCUCCAGAGCCCAAAAUCACACGAAAAUAUCGAUUUUCACGAAAAAAAACUGAAUUUUUUGUCAUUUCCCUUGAUUUUGAGGCGAAUUUAUCGAUUUUUGUCGUUUUUUUCCCGAAAAAAUCGAAAUUUUCUCGGAAAUUCCACUUUAAAAUUGACUAUUUUUUUGUUUUGCAGUUGGUGAUCGUCGGCGACGGAGCCUGCGGUAAAACUUGCCUGCUCAUCGUUUUCUCAAAGGAUCAGUUCCCAGACGUGUAUGUGCCGACUGUUUUCGAGAAUUAUGUUGCCGACAUUGAAGUUGACGGAAAGCAGG